UACGUAGGGGGCUAGCGUUGUCCGGAAUCAUUGGGCGUAAAGAGCGUGUAGGCGGCCCGGUAAGUCCGCUGUGAAAGUCGGGGGCUCAACCCUCGAAUGCCGGUGGAUACUGUCGGGCUAGAGUGCGGAAGAGGCGAGUGGAAUUCCUGGUGUAGCGGUGAAAUGCGCAGAUAUCAGGAGGAACACCAAUGGCGAAGGCAGCUCGCUGGAACGGUACUGACGCUGAGGCGCGAAAGCGUGGGGAGCGAACAGG
rnacentral:rRNA from 1 species